rnacentral:rRNA from 1 species
GUGGUAAUGCCGGAUGCUCCGGUUGGAUGCAUGUCCUUCCGGGAAAGGUUCCAUCGGUAUGGGAUGGGGUCGCGUCCUAUCAGCUUGAUGGCGGGGUAACGGCCCACCAUGGCUUCGACGGGUAGCCGGCCUGAGAGGGCGACCGGCCACAUUGGGACUGAGAUACGGCCCAGACUCCUACGGGAGGCAGCAGUGGGGAAUAUUGCACAAUGGGCGCAAGCCUGAUGCAGCGACGCCGCGUGCGGGAUGGAGGCCUUCGGGUUGUAAACCGCUUUUGAUCGGGAGCAAGCCCUUCGGGGUGAGUGUACCUUUCGAAUAAGCACCGGCUAACUACGUGCCAGCAGCCGCGGUAAUACGUAGGGUGCAAGCGUUAUCCGGAAUUAUUGGGCGUAAAGGGCUCGUAGGCGGUUCGUCGCGUCCGGUGUGAAAGCCCAUCGCUUAACGGUGGGUCUGCGCCGGGUACGGGCGGGCUGGAGUGCGGUAGGGGAGACUGGAAUUCCCGGUGUAACGGUGGAAUGUGUAGAUAUCGGAAAAAAACACC